GAUGAACGCUGGCGGCGUGCCUAAUACAUGCAAGUCGAGCGAACGGACGAGAAGCUUGCUUUUCUGAUGUUAGCGGCGGACGGGUGAGUAACACGUGGAUAACCUACCUAUAAGACUGGGAUAACUUCGGGAAACCGGAGCUAAUACCGGAUAAUAUUUUGAACCGCAUGGUUCAAAAGUGAAAGACGGUCUUGCUGUCACUUAUAGAUGGAUCCGCGCUGCAUUAGCUAGUUGGUAAGGUAACGGCUUACCAAGGCAACGAUGCAUAGCCGACCUGAGAGGAUGAUCGGCCACACUGGAACUGAGACACGGUCCAGACUCCUACGGGAGGCAGCAGUAGGGAAUCUUCCGCAAUGGGCGAAAGCCUGACGGAGCAACGCCGCGUGAGUGAUGAAGGUCUACGGAUCGUAAAACUCUGUUAUUAGGGAAGAACAUAUGUGUAAGUAACUGUGCACAUCUUGACGGUACCUAAUCAGAAAGCCACGGCUAACUACGUG
rnacentral:rRNA from 1 species